rnacentral:rRNA from 1 species
AGGGCGCACGGUGGAUGCCUUGGCACUAGGAGCCGAUGAAGGACGGGACUAACACCGAUAUGCUUCGGGGAGCUGUAAGUAAGCUUUGAUCCGGAGAUUUCCGAAUGGGGAAACCCAGCAUCUUUUAUAGGAUGUUACUUUUCAGUGAAUACAUAGCUGAUUAGAGGUAGACGCAGAGAACUGAAACAUCUAAGUACCUGCAGGAAGAGAAAGAAAAAUCGAUUCCCUGAGUAGCGGCGAGCGAAACGGGAAAAGCCCAAACCAAGAGGCUUGCCUCUUGGGGUUGUAGGACUCCGAUAUGGUAGUCCAGUGAGAUAGUCGAAGGACCUGGAAAGGUCUGCUAGAAAGGGUAAAAGCCCCGUAGACAAAAUUUGACUGGCACCUAGGAGGAUCCUGAGUACGGCGGAACACGAGGAAUUCCGUCGGAAUCCGGGAGGACCAUCUCCCAAGGCUAAAUACUCCCUAGUGACCGAUAGUGAACCAGUACCGUGAGGGAAAGGUGAAAAGCACCCCGGAAGGGGAGUGAAAUAGAUCCUGAAACCGUGUGCCUACAACAAGUUAGAGCCCGUUAAUGGGUGAUAGCGUGCCUUUUGUAGAAUGAACCGGCGAGUUACGAUUACUUGCGAGGUUAAGUUGAAAAGACGGAGCCGCAGCGAAAGCGAGUCUGAAUAGGGCGAAUGAGUAAGUGGUCGUAGACCCGAAACCAUGUGAUCUACCCAUGUCCAGGUUGAAGGUGCGGUAAAACGCACUGGAGGACCGAACCCACGUACGUUGAAAAGUGCGGGGAUGAGGUGUGGGUAGCGGAGAAAUUCCAAACGAACUUGGAGAUAGCUGGUUCUCUCCGAAAUAGCUUUAGGGCUAGCCUCAGAGUAAGAAUGAUGGAGGUAGAGCACUGUUUGGACUAGGGGCCCAUCUCGGGUUACCGAAUUCAGAUAAACUCCGAAUGCCAUCCAUUCAUCUCUGGGAGUCAGACUGUGAGUGAUAAGAUCCAUAGUCGAAAGGGAAACAGCCCAGACCACCAGCUAAGGUCCCCAAAUAACUAUUAAGUGGAAAAGGAUGUGGGGUUGCACAGACAACUAGGAUGUUGGCUUAGAAGCAGCCACCAUUUAAAGAGUGCGUAAUAGCUCACUAGUCGAGUGACCCUGCGCCGAAAAUGUACCGGGGCUAAACAUAUUACCGAAGCUGUGGAGUACACCAUGAGGUGUAUUGGUAGGAGAGCGUUCUAAGGGCGUUGAAGGCAGAUCGUGAGGACUGCUGGAGCGCUUAGAAGUGAGAAUGCCGGUAUGAGUAGCGAAAGACAGGUGAGAAUCCUGUCCACCGAAUGACUAAGGUUUCCUGGGGAAGGCUCGUCCGCCCAGGGUUAGUCGGGACCUAAGCCGAGGCCGACAGGCGUAGGCGAUGGACAACAGGUUGAUAUUCCUGUACCCGUUGUUUUUGUUUGAGCAAUGGAGGGACGCAGGAGGCUAAGGAAUCAGACGAUUGGAAAUGUCUGUCCAAGCAAUGAGUCUUGAUGUGAGUCAAAUGCUUACAUCUCUAAGGACAAGUUGUGAUGGGGAGGGAAAUAACAGUACCGAAGUUCCUGAUGUCACACUGCCGAGAAAAGCUUCUAGUGAGAAAACAAUGGCCCGUACCGCAAACCGACACAGGUAGUCGAGGAGAGAAUCCUAAGGUGAGCGAGAGAACUCUCGUUAAGGAACUCGGCAAAAUGACCCCGUAACUUCGGGAGAAGGGGUGCUGAUCUAACGAUCAGCCGCAGUGAAUAGGCCCAAGCGACUGUUUAUCAAAAACACAGGUCUCUGCAAAAUCGAAAGAUGACGUAUAGGGGCUGACGCCUGCCCGGUGCUGGAAGGUUAAGAGGAGUGCUUAGCGUAAGCGAAGGUACGAAUUGAAGCCCCAGUAAACGGCGGCCGUAACUAUAACGGUCCUAAGGUAGCGAAAUUCCUUGUCGGGUAAGUUCCGACCCGCACGAAAGGCGUAACGAUUUGGGCACUGUCUCAACGAGAGACUCGGUGAAAUUUUAGUACCUGUGAAGAUGCAGGUUACCCGCGACAGGACGGAAAGACCCCAUGGAGCUUUACUGUAGUUUGAUAUUGAGUGUCUGUACCGCAUGUACAGGAUAGGUAGGAGCCGUAGAAAUCGGAACGCUAGUUUCGAUGGAGGCGCUGGUGGGAUACUACCCCUGCGUUAUGGCCACUCUAACCCGCACCACUAAUCGUGGUGGGAGACAGUGUCAGAUGGGCAGUUUGACUGGGGCGGUCGCCUCCUAAAGAGUAACGGAGGCGCCCAAAGGUUCCCUCAGAAUGGUUGGAAAUCAUUCGCAGAGUGUAAAGGCACAAGGGAGCUUGACUGCGAGACCUACAAGUCGAGCAGGGACGAAAGUCGGGCUUAGUGAUCCGGUGGUUCCGCAUGGAAGGGCCAUCGCUCAACGGAUAAAAGCUACCCUGGGGAUAACAGGCUUAUCUCCCCCAAGAGUCCACAUCGACGGGGAGGUUUGGCACCUCGAUGUCGGCUCGUCGCAUCCUGGGGCUGUAGUCGGUCCCAAGGGUUGGGCUGUUCGCCCAUUAAAGCGGUACGCGAGCUGGGUUCAGAACGUCGUGAGACAGUUCGGUCCCUAUCCGUCGCGGGCGUAGGUAAUUUGAGAGGAUCUGUCCUUAGUACGAGAGGACCGGGAUGGACUUACCGCUGGUGUACCAGUUGUUCUGCCAAGGGCAUUGCUGGGUAGCUAUGUAGGGAAGGGAUAAACGCUGAAAGCAUCUAAGUGUGAAGCCCACCUCAAGAUGAGAUUUCCCAUUUCU